rnacentral:rRNA from 1 species
CGGACGGGUGAGUAAUGUCUGGGAAACUGCCUGAUGGAAGGGGAUAACUACUGGAAACGGUAGCUAAUACCGCAUAACGUCGCAAGACCAAAGAGGGGGACCUUCGGGCCUCUUGCCAUCGGAUGUGCCCAGAUGGGAUUAGCUAGUAGGUGGGGUAACGGCUCACCUAGGCGACGAUCCCUAGCUGGUCUGAGAGGAUGACCAGCCACACUGGAACUGAGACACGGUCCAG